rnacentral:rRNA from 1 species
AGUGAACGCUGGCGGUAGGCCUAACACAUGCAAGUCGAACGGCAGCACAGUAAGAGCUUGCUCUUACGGGUGGCGAGUGGCGGACGGGUGAGGAAUACAUCGGAAUCUACUUUUUCGUGGGGGAUAACGUAGGGAAACUUACGCUAAUACCGCAUACGACCUACGGGUGAAAGCAGGGGAUCUUCGGACCUUGCGCGAUUGAAUGAGCCGAUGUCGGAUUAGCUAGUUGGCGGGGUAAAGGCCCACCAAGGCGACGAUCCGUAGCUGGUCUGAGAGGAUGAUCAGCCACACUGGAACGGAGACGCGGUCCAGACUCCUACGGGAGGCAGCAGUGGGGAAUAUUGGACAAUGGGCGCAAGCCUGAUCCAGCCAUACCGCGUGGGUGAAGAAGGCCUUCGGGUUGUAAAGCCCUUUUGUUGGGAAAGAAAAGCAGCAGGUUAAUACCCCGCUGUUCUGACGGUACCCAAAGAAUAAGCACCGGCUAACUUCGUG